AUUGAACGCUGGCGGCAGGCCUAACACAUGCAAGUCGAGCGGAUGAAGGGAGCUUGCUCCUGGAUUCAGCGGCGGACGGGUGAGUAAUGCCUAGGAAUCUGCCUGGUAGUGGGGGAUAACGUCCGGAAACGGGCGCUAAUACCGCAUACGUCCUGAGGGAGAAAGUGGGGGAUCUUCGGACCUCACGCUAUCAGAUGAGCCUAGGUCGGAUUAGCUAGUUGGUGGGGUAAAGGCCUACCAAGGCGACGAUCCGUAACUGGUCUGAGAGGAUGAUCAGUCAAACUGGAACUGAGACACGGUCCAGACCCCCACGGGGGGCAGCGGUGGGGAAUUUUGGGCAAUGGGCGAAAGCCUGAUCCAGCCCGUCCGGGGGGGUGAAGAAGGUCUUCGGAUUGUAAAGCCCUUUAAGUUGGGAGGAAGGGCAGUAAGUUAAUACCUGGCUGUUUUGACGUUACCAACAAAAUAAGCACCGGCGAACUUCGU
rnacentral:rRNA from 1 species